rnacentral:rRNA from 1 species
UAGCUUGCUACCUGACCUAGCGGCGGACGGGUGAGUAAUGCUUAGGAAUCUGCCUAUUAGUGGGGGACAACAUUCCGAAAGGAAUGCUAAUACCGCAUACGCCCUACGGGGGAAAGCAGGGGAUCUUCGGACCUUGCGCUAAUAGAUGAGCCUAAGUCAGAUUAGCUAGUUGGUGGGGUAAAGGCCUACCAAGGCGACGAUCUGUAGCGGGUCUGAGAGGAUGAUCCGCCACACUGGGACUGAGACACGGCCCAGACUCCUACGGGAGGCAGCAGUGGGGAAUAUUGGACAAUGGGCGAAAGCCUGAUCCAGCCAUGCCGCGUGUGUGAAGAAGGCCUUUUGGUUGUAAAGCACUUUAAGCGAGGAGGAGGCUACUUGGAUUAAUACUCUAGGAUAGUGGACGUUACUCGCAGAAUAAGCACCGGCUAACUCUGUGCCAGCAGCCGCGGUAAUACAGAGGGUGCGAGCGUUAAUCGGAUUUACUGGGCGUAAAGCGUGCGUAGGCGGCUUUUUAAGUCGGAUGUGAAAUCCCUGAGCUUAACUUAGGAAUUGCAUUCGAUACUGGGAAGCUAGAGUAUGGGAGAGGAUGGUAGAAUUCCAGGUGUAGCGGUGAAAUGCGUAGAGAUCUGGAGGAAUACCGAUGGCGAAGGCAGCCAUCUGGCCUAAUACUGACGCUGAGGUACGAAAGCAUGGGGAGCAAACAGGAUUAGAUACCCUGGUAGUCCAUGCCGUAAACGAUGUCUACUAGCCGUUGGGGCCUUUGAGGCUUUAGUGGCGCAGCUAACGCGAUAAGUAGACCGCCUGGGGAGUACGGUCGCAAGACUAAAACUCAAAUGAAUUGACGGGGGCCCGCACAAGCGGUGGAGCAUGUGGUUUAAUUCGAUGCAACGCGAAGAACCUUACCUGGUCUUGACAUAGUAAGAACUUUCCAGAGAUGGAUUGGUGCCUUCGGGAACUUACAUACAGGUGCUGCAUGGCUGUCGUCAGCUCGUGUCGUGAGAUGUUGGGUUAAGUCCCGCAACGAGCGCAACCCUUUUCCUUAUUUGCCAGCGGGUUAAGCCGGGAACUUUAAGGAUACUGCCAGUGACAAACUGGAGGAAGGCGGGGACGACGUCAAGUCAUCAUGGCCCUUACGACCAGGGCUACACACGUGCUACAAUGGUCGGUACAAAGGGUUGCUACCUAGCGAUAGGAUGCUAAUCUCAAAAAGCCGAUCGUAGUCCGGAUUGGAGUCUGCAACUCG